rnacentral:sRNA from 1 species
CUUUUCUCUUUGUUGUUCUA